GCCUACGGCCACACCUCCCUGAGCACGCCCGAUCUCGUCUGAUCUCGGAAGCUAAGCAGGGUCGGGCCAGGUUAGUACUUGGAUGGGAGACUACCAGGUGCCGGAAGCC
ensembl:rRNA 5S_rRNA 5S ribosomal RNA